UGCGAUGAUGGUGUAAUUUGCGUCUUAUACUGUGCACAGUGACAGUUGCCUACUGUCGAUUAACUGGCACAGAAAAAUGACGAUCAUGCAAAUCUGAGCA
ensembl:snoRNA SNORD16 Small nucleolar RNA SNORD16